rnacentral:rRNA from 1 species
GGGGGGGGGGGGGGGGGGGCCUGAGGGGGGGGGGUCGAGGGGAGGGGGGGGGGGGUUGGUGCUGUGAGGUUAGGGGCGGACGGGGUAGUAACACGUGGCUAACCUAGCUAUGAGACUGGUAUAACUUCGGGAAACCGUAGCUAAUACCGGAUAAGAUCUUGAACCGCAUGGUUCAUCAGUGAAAGACGGUCUGGAUUGCACGUAUCGCUGGAGCCGCGCUGCGUUAGCUAGUUGGUAAGGUAACGUGUUACCAAGGCAAAGAUGCAUAGCCGACCUGAGAGGGUGACCGGCCACACUAGAACUGGGACACGGUCCAGACGCCUACGGGAGGCAGCAGUAGGGAAUCUUCCGCAGUGGGCGAAAGCCUGACGGAGCAACGCCGCGUGAGUGAUGAAGGUCUUCGGAUCGUAAAACUCUGUUAUUAGGGAAGAACAUAUGUGUAAGUAACUGUGCACAUCUUGACGGUACCUAAUCAGAAAGCCACGGCUAACUACGUG